GACGAACGCUGGCGGCAUGCCUAACACAUGCAAGUCGAGCGAGUUGAUUUCUUCGGAAUGAAGCUAGCGGCGGACGGGUGAGUAACACGUGGGCAACCUGCCUCAUAGAGGGGAAUAGCCUUCCGAAAGGAAGAUUAAUACCGCAUAAGAUUGUAGUACCGCAUGGUAUAGCAAUUAAAGGAGUAAUCCGCUAUGAGAUGGGCCCGCGGCGCAUUAGCUAGUUGGUGAGGUAACGGCUCACCAAGGCGACGAUGCGUAGCCGACCUGAGAGGGUGAUCGGCCACAUUGGGACUGGGACCCGGCCCAGUCUCCUACGGGAGGCAACAGUGGGGAAUAUUGCACAAUGGGGGAAACCAUGAUGCAGCAAUGCCGCGUGAGUGAUGACGGCCUUCGGGUUGUAAAGCUCUGUCUUCGGGGACGAUAAUGACGGUACCCGAGGAGGAAGCCACGGCUAACUACGUGCCAGCAGCCGCCGUAA
rnacentral:rRNA from 1 species